GGGUCUUGGGAUAUUUGGGGUUAAGCGUCUUAGGAUAUUUGGGGUUAAGCGUCCUUGGGUUUGAAUAGUACUGAGUUGGGUGACCUCCCGGGAAGUCCAAACUCAGGAGCUU
rnacentral:rRNA from 1 species